CCUACGGGACACUGCAGUGAGGAAUAUUGGUCAAUGGACGAGAGUCUGAACCAGCCAAGUAGUGUGAAGGAUGACUGCCCUAUGGGUUGUAAACUUCUUUUAUAAAGGAAUAAAACGAGGCACGUGUGCCUUUUUGCAUGUACUUUAUGAAUAAGGAUCGGCUAAAUACGUGCCAGCAGCCGCGGUAAUACGGAGGAUCCGAGCGUUAUGCGGAUUUAUUGGGUUUAAAGGGAGCGUAGAUGGGGUGUUAAGUCAGUUGUGAAAGUUUGCGGCUCAACCGGAAAAUUGCAAUUGAUACUGGCAGUCUUGAGUACAGUUGAGGUAGGCGGAAUUCGUGGUGUAGCGGUGAAAUGCGUAGAUAUCACGAAGAACCCCGAUGGCGAAGGCAGCUUACUAAACUGUGACUGACAUUGAGGCUCGAAAGUGUGGGUAGCAAACAGGAUUAGAUACCCCAGUAGUC
rnacentral:rRNA from 1 species